rnacentral:rRNA from 1 species
CGGGGUGGAUUAGUGGCGAACGGGUGAGUAACACGUGGGCAAUCUGCCCUUCACUCUGGGACAAGCCCUGGAAACGGGGUCUAAUACCGGAUAACACUCCUGCCUGCAUGGGUGGGGGUUAAAAGCUCCGGCGGUGAAGGAUGAGCCCGCGGCCUAUCAGCUUGUUGGUGAGGUAGUGGCUCACCAAGGCGACGACGGGUAGCCGGCCUGAGAGGGCGACCGGCCACACUGGGACUGAGACACGGCCCAGACUCCUACGGGAGGCAGCAGUGGGGAAUAUUGCACAAUGGGCGAAAGCCUGAUGCAGCGACGCCGCGUGAGGGAUGACGGCCUUCGGGUUGUAAACCUCUUUCAGCAGGGAAGAAGCGAAAGUGACGGUACCUGCAGAAGAAGCGCCGGCUAACUACGUGCCAGCAGCCGCGGUAAUACGUAGGGCGCAAGCGUUGUCCGGAAUUAUUGGGCGUAAAGAGCUCGUAGGCGGCUUGUCACGUCGGUUGUGAAAGCCCGGGGCUUAACCCCGGGUCUGCAGUCGAUACGGGCAGGCUAGAGUGUGGUAGGGGAGAUCGGAAUUCCUGGUGUAGCGGUGAAAU